UUACGGGAGGCAGCAGUGGGGAAUAUUGCACAAUGGAGGAAACUCUGAUGCAGCGACGCCGCGUGAGUGAAGAAGGUCUUCGGAUCGUAAAACUCUGUCCUUGGUGAAGAAAAAAUGACGGUAGCCAAGGAGGAAGCCCCGGCUAACUACGUGCCAGCAGCCGCGGUAAU
rnacentral:rRNA from 1 species